rnacentral:rRNA from 1 species
GAUGAACGCUGGCGGCGUGAUUAACACAUGCAAGUCGAACGGAAAGGCCCAAGCUUGCUUGGGUACUCGAGUAGCGAACGGGUGAGUAACACGUGGGUGAUCUGCCCUGCACUUCGGGAUAAGCCUGGGAAACUGGGUCUAAUACCGGAUAGGACGAUGGUUUGGAUGCCAUUGUGGAAAGUUUUUUCGGUGUGGGAUGAGCUCGCGGCCUAUCAGCUUGUUGGUGGGGUAAUGGCCUACCAAGGCGUCGACGGGUAGCCGGCCUGAGAGGGUGUACGGCCACAUUGGGACUGAGAUACGGCCCAGACUCCUACGGGAGGCAGCAGUGGGGAAUAUUGCACAAGGGGCGCAAGCCUGAUGCAGCGACGCCGCGUGGGGGAUGACGGCCUUCGGGUUGUAAACUCCUUUCGCUAGGGACGAAGCGUUUUGUGACGGUACCUGGAGAAGAAGCACCGGCUAACUACGUG